CCCUCCUGUGAUGCCACAGGUGCUGUAUGAGUCAUGCAUGAUAAACAAAUCAUGCCAGCAACUCUGAGGCCCAA
rnacentral:snoRNA from 1 species